GGCCUGACGGUGUAGUGGUUACACAACCUCUUAGUCUGCAGAGCCGCUUGUAAUCUUCCGAGGAAGUCCUCGGUUCGAAUCCGAGUCAGGCCA